GAGAGAGAGAGAGAGAGAGAGUGGAAGAGGGAGAAAGAGACACAAAUUGUGAGAGUGAGGGAUAACAAGACAGAAUGUGUGAGACAGAGAGAGUAUCAACAAAGUCGAUUCCCUACAAAUUUGGCAAAAAUGAAAUAUUCUUAGGAUUCUCCCUUUAUAUGAUGUAUUGUUUAAUUAGUUGAUAAGGAUUGGAAAUAUGUGGACCAUGUGAUCUUGCCAUGUGGUACUUAUGGCUUAAGAUAUGUUGGGUUGGGUACAUUUAAAAUGGAGAGAAGAUUAUUGCCGGAGUGGGUCUCCAAUAUAGAGCUUUCAGAUGGUUAAGUCAGUGAUUUGGUGGAAAAUAUUCUCUACUAAAAGGAGAUACAAGCCGAAAGAGAUGGAGAUGAGCCCCUUAGAGUUUACCUUUCAUCCAUUUAUACUUGUUAGUGUGACGUCGUGGUUGGAACGGGUGUUCCUUGUUUCUUUAAUAGUUAAACAACCCUACCUUUCACAUGCUUUUCCUCAUGAUUUGGGUCUACCGUGGUUGGUAGUCAAAGUCAUUUAUUUCCUUUGUUAUCAUUAUUUCUAUAGCAAUGUGGUUAGUGCCAAUCAAUAAGGUAAUGAUGUCCUUUCGGCCAUAAUAGGCACACCUCAUUUAUUAUGGUUUCUUGCAAUCAUGUUCUCAUGUUUAGUGUCAAAUUCAUCAUUGAUGCUUCGAUGAGCAGGGCUUGAGGUAAAAUAAUGUCGACCAAUUCUUCUCUUUGUCUAGUCGGACCUUCAAGCCUUUCGAGAGGUCGGUGAUUGGAUACACGUCAUCUCAUUUUGGCUUGAUUAUUUCUAUCCAUAUCAUCAAUAAUUCCUUUUAGGAUCAGUCUUGGUGUUUAAAAUAAUUAAUUUAAUAAAAUU
rnacentral:misc_RNA from 1 species